AGAAAAGUAGAGCCGGGCUCGGAGUCGGCGGGAGGAAGCCCCGCCCUGCGCCUCCCGCCGAACUUCUCGGCCUCGGCGCUGACUCAGUCCCGGACGAGUCCCUGCGCCGCAGCGGCCCCUGACAGCCCGGUCCUGGUGUGGAGGUUACUGGUGCUCCCAAAACGGCUAGCGGGAGUAGGGGAUCCACUCAGCCCUGCAAAAGUUAGAUGAGCCAAGAUUCCUAAAGUUCACAUGGAAGUAUCUAUGCCUAUGCGAGCUUUGACAUUUUGUUCAGUUAGGUCUCCUGGACAUCACCCACAUGUCCCAUUUGUGCUUCAAACUUAAUGUGUUUCCAACUGAAUUUGACUUCCUUCUCAAACCUGCUUCCUGUAUCUGUCAGAGUGUGUGGAACCAGCAUCCAGUCGACCAAGCCAUAGAACUGGGAGCAGUAUAUAAUUCCAUCCUCUCUCACCUUUACUCACUACAUGCCGAUGGUCACUGAGUAGUAUCAGUUAGGGUUUCUGUGUUUCCUAGCACAGAAACCAACUCAUGUAAACACAACAAGAUUUGUAGAAGAGUACUGGAGAAGUUCACAGAAACAUAGGAAAAUUAAAGAACUAGGCUUCAUGAAGGAUAGAAAGCAGGCAACUGCGGUGUUCUCCCCAAGAGGAGCUUGAAGACCAUCCCCCAGAGAGCUAUACCCAGAUAAUUCGGCAACAAUAUGGCCUUUCAUUUAUGGAUGGGGUGGAAUAAGAAUUAUAAACUCCAAACUUUUUAUUCAACCUUGGUUAAAAUGAAAAGAAACCAUUGGUUGCAAUGCUAUUGGAUGAGAGGUAACUAAUCUUGUUGAUGUAAAUCUUCGAGAAUCCAAACUGCUGAUCCCCACAUUUCUCAACAACAAAAGAAGGAGAUGAUUAGAGGAAAUUUACAUUCUGAUGACUACAGGAACACAAUGAACAAGAUAUCAACUCUAAGAGACGAAGGUCAUAUUUAAGUUUCAAAUCUUUGCAUGCUCUAUUUCUUAUUAUUAUGACCAUAGCUUCUUUAAUAAAGAGCAACAGACUCCCGUUUUAAGUAAAUUUUCUCAUUCAUGCUAUAAA